GAUGAAGAACGCAGCGAAAUGCGAGAAGUAAUGUGAAUUGCAGAAUUCAGUGAAUCAUCGAAUCUUUGAACGCACCUUGCGCUCCUUGGUAUUCCGAGGAGCAUGCCUGUUUGAGUGUCAUUAAUAUAUCAACCUCUUCAGCUUAUGCUUGUUGAGUGUUGGAUGGUGGGGGUUUGCUGGUGUCUUAUGAAGUCAGCUCCUCUGAAAUGCAUUAGCGGAACAAUUUGUUGACCGUUCAUUGGUGUGAUAAAAAUAUCUACGCUAUUGACGUCAGUCAGUUCAGCUUCUAACAGUCCAUUGACUUGGACAAAUUUUUCAUUAAUGUGACCUCAAAUCAGGUAGGACUACCCGCUGAACUUAAGCAUAUCAAUAAGCGGAGGA
rnacentral:misc_RNA from 1 species